GUAUAUCUCAGGGGGCAGAGCAUUUGACUGCAGAUCAAGAGGUCCCCGGUUGAAAUCCGGGUGC
rfam:Homo sapiens chromosome 3, GRCh38 reference primary assembly.